UUCCCUCCUCUCUUUUUCUCUUUUCCCCCUUGAGCGUCUGUUUAUCUUCCCUUCGGUUCAUGAUUGUUCUUUUCUCAGUGUAUUCUUUGCUGCUUUGUUUAGCACAAGGAGGCUCCUGCCAUUUCCUUUGGGAACACAAUUAGUACCCCAAUACUCAAUGUUAUAAACUACUAUGCUAUUAGAAAGGGUAAUUUCAAUACCUAUAGGGUUCUUAUAAAAAGGAUGGAAGAGGACUCUUUAUUCAGCCUGAAGGAUCCCAGUGCACUUAUGAAUACUUCAAUUCAUUACUGGAACGAAUUCUUUUCCCAAUAAAUCAGGAGGAGGUCUCAUUCUGCAAGAGGAGGAAGACUAGGAUACUUCUUGAAGUACACCAACCCAGGAGAGGAGAGGGGAGGAGAAGAGAGCCUUCCUGCUGCAGGAAGGAAGAAGGUUAAAGAUGCCAAAGCAGCACACUGGAACAAGUCUUGAUGUCUCAAGUGCAGAGUCUCAUACAUUCUGUGUGUCUUAAUCAGACUGUGCCAGGAACAUAUUGCCUUAUAAAAUAUCAUAGUUUCUGUGACAUGUAGGUUCAGUAUUCUAAGACUGUAUUUUUGAGAAUUAAAUCAAUAAGACUCUUAGGUGAGACAAACUUGUGUAUUUACCUUGAUUAUCACAAAAAGAGUUUUCUGUCCUUCUUGUCAUAUAGAAAAUACUUGAGUCUUGUGGAAUUUCCAAGGAUAAAAUACAGAUCAUUCCAGAAUGAGCAGAAACUGCUGAAAACAUCAGUUUUGAAAACAUUGUUCUCCUUUUAAAACAUUUAGAAACAAUUAAAAUGAUUAAUAGGUUUUAAAAAUAAAUUUCCUAUGGCUUUCAGAUAUUCCUUCCCCUUUGGCCCAUGUUAUAAAUUACCAUUGUCGUAUGAACACAAUCUUUAUUCCUUUGAAUGAAUGUAUAGAACUUUGUUCUACUCACAGCCUUUAGUAUUUUACAGAUAUUGUUUUGGAAAUGGUUUAUCAUUUUUCAAAAAGAAAAUUCUGCCUCCAGGGUGUUUAAUAUAACCUUAUUAAUCAUUAAAUGUGUAAAAGGUCUUAUUAAAAUAUUGGUGUUGCUUGAAACAGUAUAAGCUCCUAUUAGAAUAUCUAACUAGCUUGAGGCAAGCAAGCCAGAAAUAUCCUCUGUAAUUCUUAGUAACUUCCAAUACCCCCAGCCUGCACUAUUUUUUUUUUUUUCUCUUGGGAUGAAAAGGAAAUCCAUUUCAGACUGAUACCAGUGCACCACUUCUCCUGUUCCUGCUAAGCCUAUUCUUGCCUGAUUUCAGUCCUCAGGAGCCUUCAUUCUGAGUACAGUAAUGAGCCUGACAAGCAGAGAGGAACUUGAACUAAAAUUCUCAAUGCAAAGGAUCUCAAUUUUAAGGAUGUUUUACUGGACCAGGCUCUUGAAGUUCAGGCCUUUGGAUACUGGUUAAAUUUCUUUAUUAGCAGCAUGCAAUACUCAAGGUAGGAGUAACUGAAUUACUUAAGAGUAAUUUAGCAAAUAACUAAAUGUUUGUAUGGCUACCUUAAUGAUUGUCUGUCUUUCCAAUUCAUUAAUAAUUGGUAGGCUUUUCCUUGGGGUAAUGAAUAUUUAAGUGAUUGAGAAUGUGAGAGGCUGCCCUUCAUCAUUUCACCAUUCAUACUGAGCAUGUCCAAAUGGAAGAGAAGGAAAUUAUAUGUAUAGGUGUGUCUAGCACAACCAAAAUAUUUUUUGAGGUCUUAAGAAAUCUCAGAAAAUGUUAUUUGCUGUAGGACUUUCUAGAUAUGCUGGUGUCUUCUGAGGAAAAACAGGUAUUUGUGCAGC